rnacentral:lncRNA from 1 species
GUGCGUGCGUGCGUGAGUGUGUGUCGUCUGUGAUCAGCUAUGUUGUCAUGCCGCCUGUGAUGACUUGAGGAGUCUGAGGCCGUUGGCGUCAUCUUAUCCUACUGAACAUUUCUUCAAUAGUUGCUGUUUUUUUCUUCUUGCCUUCUUUUCUCUUUUUUAAAUAUUUGUAGAACAUAUCUGUGGUUUCAUUAAUGAAGAUGGGGAGUUCCCCUUUUUACAAAAAAACAAGUGUGUUUCAACAUGAACGGAAUAAAGAAGAAUGUUGAUGCCAUAGAUAUUGGUGACGCACAUGCACCCGACAGAGAGAUGACCCUUGAUCAAGUUGUAGCCGUCUCGAAGUAGGCACACCAGCGACACCGAGUUCACAAAGACGGAACCAAGUGUGUGGCUUUUACACAGCUUGCACAUGAUUGAAGGAUAG